rnacentral:rRNA from 1 species
UCUCUCUGAAUCUGCGAACGGCUCCGCAAACCAGUUGUAAACUAUAGCAAGCAAUCCUGCGGGCGGCUUCGGCUGCUCGUGGGUAACAUGGAUAACCCUGGUAAUUCUGAGGCUAAUACAAGAACGUACUCCCUGGCUGACCGGCAACGGAAGGCUGGGGAGCGUGCAACGUAUCGUAGGGAUAAACCGGGAAUGGGUGCACGCUUGGACCGCGCUAAAGACAGAUCUCGGCGAGCCUUCGGGUGAGCCUUGGCCUGAGCGGCUCUUGCUGUGUGCUUCUGACCUAUCAACUAGACGGCAGCGUAAGGGACAUGCUAUGGUUACAACGGGUACAGAGGAUUAGGGUUCGAUCCUGGAGAGUGGGCCUGAGAGAUU